rnacentral:rRNA from 1 species
GAUCAUGGCUCAGGAUGAACGCUGGCGGCGUGCCUAACACAUGCAAGUCGAACGAAGCAAUUAGAAUGAAGUUUUCGGAUGGAUUUCUGAUUGACUGAGUGGCGGACGGGUGAGUAACGCGUGGAUAACCUGCCUCACACUGGGGGAUAACAGUUAGAAAUGGCUGCUAAUACCGCAUAAGCGCACAGUACCGCAUGGUACGGUGUAGAAAAACUCCGGUGGU